AUGACAUAGGAGUGCCAUCAGCAGUCAUAACCGACAUAGAUGAUGUAGGAUUUAAAGACAAAAAGGACUUACGAUCAUACGACAUAUGAUGUGAUGCUCCAGAAUCAAAUAUCCAUAUAGAAGAAGAUAUAUGUGACAAGUUAGAGGGAGUCAAACCUUUAACAUAAGAGACAGAUGUGGCAUGAGGCUGAGCAGCAAGAAAAUUUUGGAACUUCUCUGCAAGAUCAAACACUGGUGAAGUAGUCUCGUGUGAGUAUAUAGGACCAAUACCAUAACCAACAGGGAGAGGAGCAAUAGAAGCAGCCAUAUCAAAUACAAGAAUUCACAAUUUUUCAAUCCGAUAGUCUUAGAACAAAAUAAAGUAGUGCUUAACUGCUAACCAACAAUAAGCCUUCAAACAAAAUCAGCCAAGGGAGUUUAACGUCACCUACCAAGUUUUCAAUUCCAAUUGAAACAAUUAAACAAACACUUCACAGGCAAGACAAAUGAUGUAGUGGGGUUACCAAGUUUUCACAAACAAAUUGAAUUGAAACAAGAAAAUAAAUUCUUCACCAAAUUGAGUGGAAUUACCAAGUCUUAAAAAAUCCAAUUGAAACAACAAUCACCAUGGCUGUGAGACUCACAUACAGAAGCCGUCAUAGCUAUGCCACUAAAUCCAACCAGCAUCGUAUUGUUAGGGAAAGGAUUAUUCAUGCUUUCCUUGUUGAAGAGCAAAAAAAUCGUAACGAAGGUUUUGAAGAUCCAGAAGACAAAAGAAAAGCUAGCAUCCAAGAGUUAAGCAGAGUUGAUCAUUGAUGGAAAAAAGUUAAAAAUCCAAUUGAAACUACAAAACAAAUUCUUCACACCAAUCGGUGAUUUGGGAUUCUCAUACUAUCACGCUCUAUUUUUUUUUUAACACAUCACUUUAUGAGACAAUCAACCAAGCUCUUUGAUACCAUGUUAAACAACGGUGAACAUAUAGAGAAGAAGAAUAACAAAGGAGAAGAGAACACCCUUUAGGUUAGGGUUUCAAUCAUAUGAGCAAAGCUUAAUGAAACAAUAGUACAAUAGAGUAUAUAAACUAGAAAUUAG
rnacentral:lncRNA from 1 species